rnacentral:rRNA from 1 species
AAGCCGAGGCCGAUAGGCGUAGGCGAUGGACAACAGGUAGAGAUUCCUGUACCAGUGCUAAUUGUUUAACCGAUGGGGUGACACAGAAGGAUAGGGAAUCGCACGAAUGGAAAUGUGCGUCCAAGCAGUGAGUGUGAGAAGUAGGCAAAUCCGCUUCUCGCGAAGCAUGAGCUGUGAUGGGGAAGGAAAUUAAGUACGGAAGUUCCUGAUUUCACGCUGUCAAGAAAAGCCUCUAGGAAGAGUAGUACUGCCCGUACCGCAAACCGACACAGGUAGAUGAGGAGAGAAUCCUAAGGUGAGCGAGAGAACUCUCGUUAAGGAACUCGGCAAAAUGACCCCGUAACUUCGGGAGAAGGGGUGCUCUAUUAGGGUGCAAGCCCGAGAGAGCCGCAGUGAAUAGGCCCAGGCGACUGUUUAGCAAAAACACAGGUCUCUGCAAAACCGUAAGGUGACGUAUAGGGGCUGACGCCUGCCCGGUGCUGGAAGGUUAAGAGGAGUGCUUAGCUUCGGCGAAGGUACGAAUUGAAGCCCCAGUAAACGGCGGCCGUAACUAUAACGGUCCUAAGGUAGCGAAAUUCCUUGUCGGGUAAGUUCCGACCCGCACGAAAGGCGCAACGAUCUGGGCACUGUCUCAACGAGAGACUCGGUGAAAUUAUAGUACCUGUGAAGAUGCAGGUUACCCGCGACAGGACGGAAAGACCCCGUGGAGCUUUACUGCAACCUGAUAUGGAAUGUUUGUACCGCUUGUACAGGAUAGGUAGGAGCCGAAGAGACGUGUGCGCUAGCAUACGAGGAGGCAAUGGUGGGAUACUACCCUGGCUGUAUGACCAUUCUAACCCGCCACGCUUAGCGCGUGGGGAGACAGUGUCAGGUGGGCAGUUUGACUGGGGCGGUCGCCUCCUAAAGAGUAACGGAGGCGCCCAAAGGUUCCCUCAGAAUGGAUGGAAAUCAUUCGCAGAGUGUAAAGGCACAAGGGAGCUUGACUGCGAGACUGACAAGUCGAGCAGGGACGAAAGUCGGGCUUAGUGAUCCGGUGGUUCCGCAUGGAAGGGCCAUCGCUCAACGGAUAAAAGCUACCCCGGG